AGAGUUUGAUCCUGGCUCAGAACGAACGCUGGCGGCGUGCUUAACACAUGCAAGUCGAACGAGAAAGCCUGGGCAACUGGGUGAGUAAAGUGGCGCACGGGUGAGUAACACGUGGGUAACCUACCCUUGAAUCGGGGAUAACACCACGAAAGCGGUGCUAAUACCGGAUAAUAUAUUUGAGCCUUAGGGUUCGAGGAUCAAAGAUGGCCUCUGCUUGCAUGCUAUCGUUCAAGGAUGGGCCCGCGCACCAUUAGCUUGUUGGUAGGGUAACGGCCUACCAAGGCUACGAUGGUUAGCUGGUCUGAGAGGAUGGCCAGCCACACUGGAACUGAGACACGGUCCAGACUCCUACGGGAGGCAGCAGUGGGGAAUCUUGCGCAAUGGGGGAAACCCUGACGCAGCAACGCCGCGUGGGUGAUGAAGGCCUUCGGGUCGUAAAGCCCUGUCAGGUGGGACGAAACAGCUUGGCGCUAAUAUCGUCAAGCAUUGACGGUACCAUCGAAGGAAGCACCGGCUAACUCCGUGCCAGCAGCCGCGGUAAUACGGAGGGUGCAAGCGUUGUUCGGAAUUAUUGGGCGUAAAGAGCGUGUAGGCGGCCGGGUAAGUCAGAUGUGAAAUCCUUUCGCUUAACGAAAGAAGUGCAUUUGAUACUGCCUGGCUAGAGUUCGGAAGAGGAGAGUGGAAUUCCUGGUGUAGAGGUGAAAUUCGUAGAUAUCAGGAGGAACACCGGUGGCGAAGGCGGCUCUCUGGUCCGAUACUGACGCUGAGACGCGAAAGCGUGGGGAGCAAACAGGAUUAGAUACCCUGGUAGUCCACGCCGUAAACUAUGGGCACUAGGUGUAGGAGGUAUUGACCCCUUCUGUGCCGAAGCUAACGCAUUAAGUGCCCCGCCUGGGGAGUACGGCCGCAAGGUUAAAACUCAAAGGAAUUGACGG
rnacentral:rRNA from 1 species